CCUACGGGAGGCAGCAGUGGGGAAUAUUGCACAAUGGGGGAAACCCUGAUGCAGCGACGCCGCGUGAGUGAAGAAGUAUUUCGGUAUGUAAAGCUCUAUCUGCAGGGAAGAAAAAAGACGGUAGCUGACUAAGAAGCCCCGGCUAACUACGUGCCAGCAGCCGCGGUAAUACGUAGGGGGCAAGCGUUAUCCGGAUUUACUGGGUGUAAAGGGAGCGUAGACGGGGCGGCAAGUCUGAAGUGAAAGGGAGGGGCUUAACCCCUGAACUGCUUUUGAAACUGCCAUUCUUGAGUGCUGGAGAGGUAAGCGGAAUUCCUAGUGUAGCGGUGAAAUGCGUAGAUAUUAGGAGGAACACCAGUGGCGAAGGCGGCUUACUGGACUUUAACUGACGUUGAGGCUCGAAAGCGUGGGUAGCAAACAGGAUUAGAUACCCGUGUAGUC
rnacentral:rRNA from 1 species